GGCCGCGUAGUGUAGUGGUUAGCACGCAGGAUUUUGACAUCAAAUUUCCUGAGACCUGAGUUCAAUCCUCGGCGGGGCCU
rnacentral:tRNA from 1 species